GCCGGAGUGGCGGAAUCGGUAGACGCGCACGACUCAAAAUCGUGUUCUCUAGGGAGUGCGGGUUCAAGUCCCGCCUCCGGCACCA
rnacentral:tRNA from 1 species